UAAGAAUUGAGAUUGAGAACAGUGAACAGUUUCAAACAAUACAGAACAGUGAACAUUUAAUGACUUACUUUUUGCAGCAAAAUGUCGCAGCCUUGUAAUGUAAGAAAAUCAUAUUCUGGACAUGAUGUCCAAGAUUGGUUAAAGAAGAUUGGGAUAAUUUCCAUAAGUGAAGGGGUACAACGGAAUUUUAAAGGAUGUCAGACAUAUCUGUGGUUGGAUUUUCGGGGGAGUGGAUUUAACUCAAAUUCAACUUGAAGGGAAAACAGGGCCGCCAGCUCAUUGCCAUUGUUAAGCUGAGUGAAUUCAAGGGAGUAACUUCAAAGAGUGAUGAACCACCAAGAAUAACUUUUCACUGGGAACAAAGGAUAUGCAAUACAUAUAUCUACUUCUUGCAGGAGACAUAAAAAUGGAAGCCCCCAACAUAUCGUAUUAAGAGGCAUUGUCAUUGCUCAUGUUUCGUUACUGUGUAUGAGACUUGGCCUGCCCAAAACAAUUUCAACUUCUUGGAUUCCUCCAACUAUAAUAUUGAAGACGAGAAAAAUAGGUUUGUCAUGAGUCUAAAUUAUUUUGAAAUUUGUGAACAUCUUUGAGGAUUUAAAAUGAUUUUACUGCAAGCAUAAUAGCAUAUCUAUGUAGAUUCCAAAAUGUUUCGUAGAAUUAUUUUCCUGGAAUUAAGUUAAGGACAUGCAUGACAUUUCCUUUAGAAUAUUUUUUUUUAUCUCAAUGCAAGUGAAUUACAUGUGAUGUUUGUUUAUACAAGUUUCAUUAAAUCUGGUUUUUGCACAGUUUCAAGGAAAUCUUUAAAUGUAUAACUGUGCAUUUAAGGAAAUUGGAUUGAUAGAAUAAUAUACUAGUAUAAAUUUCAUAAGUUUAUAUUUUAUCAGAUAGUGUUCUGAAUGUCUUGAACCUUUUUAUAGUACAUUUCACACUUUUAAAAGUUCAUAGAGAUGUAAACAAGUACAAACAUACCUCACACAAUACCUUUUGUGAAGUCGAGCACAUGUUUUGGGAUGUGAAGCUGGACACAUGAAACUUAUGAUAUUGCACAUACAUUACUAUUCAAUGCUCUUUUUUAAAAUUAAGUCCAGCACAUAUGUUUAUGAUUUUUUACAUACAUGAAAACAUUACAUUUAGAUGUACUUUUAUUUCUGUGAGACGUUGAGCACAUUUGUUCAUGAUUUUUGACAUAUGGAACACACCUCUUUUUGAUGUAGAGUAUAUUCUGUUUGAAGUCAUGGUUUUUCAUAUAAAUGCACACCGGUUUGCUCUUUGUAUUACCUUAAUUUCUGUGUGAAGUUGUCAGAGCACACAUGUUCAUGCUUUUUCACAUACAUUGACACACUAGUAUUAUUUUUAUAUACCUUAAUUUCUAUGUGACAUAAGUUGAACACACAUGUUCAUGUACUUAUAUCACCAUUCAGUGGCUUUAUAAUAUAUAUCGCUGAUAUGCUUAAAAAUGUUUGAUAUAUGAUUAUGUGUAUUGAUCAAUAAACUGUAUAAGC